UUUACACUAAGGUAAGAAAUACCAAUUUUGGGCAAAAUCCUAGAACUUUCAUUUGGGCUUUUGAAUGAGUUUAGCUAACGGGAAAAUUUGUAAGGAUGAAAUACUCAUUUGAAGGCAUGAAUUUAUGGAUCAAGAUGGGAAAUUAAAUUGGUUAAAUUAUGAUUAUUAAUUUUACUAGUUUGAAAGAAGGAAUUAUUUUUAUGUUUGGAGUGAAGAUUAUUGUAAUCGAUUAGCUAUUAAGAAAUGCACUAGAAUGUGGAAUUAGCAUGAAGUGAUUAAAGGAAAUUGGGGAAAAUAUUAUUCAAGUAUCGAGAAGGCAAGUUUUAGUAUUCAAUUACUAGUAUUAAGAAAUACUUAGUAUGGAAGUUGUUAAAUUAGUUAUUUUAUAUCGUAUGUCAGGUGGUAACGUGAAAGCUAGGCAAGGCUGGUAAAAUUGAACCAGAUUGCUAUUCAUUGAUCUGUGAGUGAAAAAUCUACGUUUUCAAAAAGAAGAUUUCCUUUUUAUUUUAUAGAAGCAUGUUAAUUACAUGAAAUGCCUUAUUUUAGAGAAUUAGUAAAUGAGCAUGAUUGCUUUGAAAUUAUCAUUAAAUAAUUGAUGUGAUUAUCUUACUCUAGUGUACCGAGGGGCUACGGCCAUGUACUAGAGUCAUGUAUUUAACUUCUAUAGACUGAAGGGCUACGACCAUGUAUAAGGAUGAUUAUGUUGUUUCCAUCUUAUACACUGAGGGGCUACAGUCGUGUACUAGAGUUAUGUAUCUAACCCUUAUACACUGAGGGGCUACAGCCGUUUAUAAGGGUAACUCUUAUCCACUGAGGGGCUACGGUCGUGUGUAAGGGUACCUAUUAUACACUGAGGGGGUACAGCCGUGUAUAAGGAUGAUUAUAUAUUUUUUAAUCUUGUAAACUGAGGGGCUACGACCGUGUACAGAGUGUUGAUCAGAUGGCUUAUGUGCAUAUAAUUUUAUAGCUUUCAUAUCAUCAGUAGAUGAUUACACGUAGUAUAUUUUGAUGUGAAUUUUAAGUAUUGACCGGAUUAUUAGCUUUCAACUUACAUUUUCCCAUUUACAGUUCAGCUUAUGAAUUUCAGAUUAUGAUUUUAGCUUAGUGAAUUUGUCUAAUGUUCUCACUCAUCUUGUAUUAAUUAUUAUCAUAUUUCUUUUAUAUAUCAGCUUGAGUCUAAUUUAUGAUUUAGCACCAGAAUUUUGAGUUUAUACGAUGUUAUGAUACAGACAUCAAGAAUAAUGAGUACAUUAAGGUAAAUGCAGCUGUACGUAUGUAUGACUAGAUUAUAGAAUUCAGUUAUUCAGUUCUAAGAAUAAAGCUUUCAAUUUAUAGUAUUGAGCAACAACAAUAUUUUAUAGAUUUUCAUGGGUACCAAAAUUUGUUAUACUUUACAGUUAUUUAUCUCGAAUAAAGGACAAAGAAUCUUAUGAUGCAGUCAUGUUUUAGUUUUAAAGGUUUUAUCAGAUUUCAGAAUUCUCAAAGUUUUAAUAGAGCAAGAAUUUGAAGAAAAUAUGCAUAAAUGGAAAAAAGUUUACUUAUUUGCAAAUUAUCCACUCAUUGAGCUAUUAGCUCAUAUUUCUUUUACCCUUUUUCCUUAUCAGACAGAUAGCAGCCGAGUUGAGCAGUUUUGGAGCUUGUCGAUCCACCAAAUUGAGCCAUGCUUCGUAGGUUGUAUGACUUUAUUAUAUUACACAGUAUAUGUUUCUUUGGGGUACAUGCAAUUAUGUUAGAAAUGUUAUCAUUAGUUCACUACAAAUUUGAUAUCUUUAGCACAUUUGAGGACUUUCGAUUGUAUAGCAAGUAAAUAUCGAAUUGCCAGCAUUUCAUUUGAGUAGUUUGGAUUUUGAGGGACUGGUGUACCUUUUUAAAUAUUAUAUGUAUUGAUUUGAGAAAAUUGGGUAAUGAUCAGGUGGUUUUAGCCCAUAUUUUAGAGGUGACUCUAUCAAAAAAAUUAAAAAAAUAUUUCACAAUCAAAGAAAGUCAAAGUUACCUUUGUGGCAGGUCCGACAUUUAUGUUGGUAUCUACCAUCGCAGUACGACACGUGUCGGGUCCAUUAAGGUGAUUUGGGACGGGUAGUGUCAAUUGGUAUCAGAGCAGGUUCAGUAAUUGUUAAACUCGAGUAACUGGCGUGGUGGCAGAACUCAUAGGCUCCAAUGUGGUAUUUGAAACUCAUAUUAUCCCUGAUUAUGAAGAUAUGACAGUUAAGAAACUAGAAGGAUCAUUAUUGAUUUGAGCAUAAUACAUAUGAGGAUGUUAUUUGGGAACUAUUCGAUGGUAAGGAGGGUUGUUAGAGUUGUCAUGUUGGUACUAUGUUAUAUUUUCUCUAAUAUAUUAAUAAUUGGGCUAUAUAUCUAACAGACAGUUAAUCAAAGAGUAGAACUUUUCUCAGUAGUGGAAUGCACAAUCACAUAAUUGAGAUUUAUUGAGUUAUGAGUAUCUUUUAUAACUAUUAGAAGGAAUGUCUUAUGGAUGCCUGGGAUGAUAAGUAUUGUCUAAUGUUGAUUUAUGUAUUGUUGGUGAUAUUACAAGGUGAAACCUUGCUUGCUUUGUAAAUGUAAAUAAUUGAGGCACUAUGAGAAUUAUUGUGGGAAAUUGUGAUCAUAUUUAGUAUAUGAAAGCAAAUGCAUGUAUUAGAAAGUCAAGAUGUGGAGAUAUAGUAAGGAAUCUUGUUCAUGACAGAAAUAAUGAAACCAUAUGAAAUGUUGAUUCACGACGAAAAUAAUGUUAUUAAAUAUGUUUUACUAUUGCGAUUUUGAGUAAAUUAAUGUGACUGUGGCCCUUUUUUUUGUUGAUUCAAGGACAAGUAUCUAGGUUUGUACUUCAACUACUAUUGAAGGAAAGAGGACUGGAGUUUAUGUUGAUAUGUGUGUAUGACGUGAAUAAGAAAUAGCGUAAAGUUGAAGAACGGGAGAAAACUGGCAUGAUUAAAUGUUGAGAUUAUACAGUAUCAUGAUAUCCAAUGUUACAAGGUUUUAUGAUUCUGAAUGGCAUUGUGAAUAGUAGUGCACUAAAUUUAUAAUUAGUGGUACGUCAAAAUAAUAUGGGGAUGAUAUAUUUAGAUUACAAAGUGAAAUACCCUUCCCAUGACCAUAAUUGGGAUUAUUGUGUUAGAUUAAAAAUUGAUUGAGACGACAUGUUAAAUUGUAAUUAUAAGUUGAAUUCUAUGAGUUUUGUGUUGCUAUUGGAUUACUAUAUCUGCAAUUAUAAUUUUGGAUUUCAUGAAUUGAGAAUUUCAUUCUCAUCGAAGUGAUAUGAUAAGAAAUUCAUGGAUGAUAGGUUACCUUAUUGUCGAGACUAGGAACGAAUGAUCAUUUUAGAUAUGAAGGUAACUUUAGCUAAGGUUAUUUCCUUGUAAUUUAUUUAUAGAUAUUUGAAGAUCAGUAAGGAUUUGGAAAGAUACCGUGUUAUCGAAAUCAUGGUAUCCUAGUUGUGGGAAAUAAGUUUAGUGGUCAAGAUGAUAUUUAGUAAGGAAGGAAAAAUAAAAUCUUGGUGUUAAUAUCUUAUUUCCUCAUUUGAGCAAAGAAAGAGACAGAGAAUAAGGAACAGAGAAGCAAUCAUAUUCAAAUUUCUUACUCUAUUUUUCGGCGUUCGCAAUUAGGUUAUGUGAAUAAGAAGUAAUUGAAAAAGAAAAGAGAGUGAUUAGCAUAUUUCAUGUAUAUUCAUGUAUGACUUGCGGAAUGGAAUGAAACUAUGAAAAAGAGAAAAAGUAAAGAAUGACAGAGUUGAAAUUUAUGGUAAUUGACAAAUUAGCAUACCGAAUGUUGAUGGUACAUUAGUGUGAAAAUCACUUGAUAGUUAUAAAGAGCAUUAUUUUUGUGAUCCUAAGGAAAUAGGAUAAUCAAAUGUUUGAAGUUAUACACUAUGAUCAUAAAUGACAAGGUCACGUGAUAUGGUAAAUAGCAAGUGAAGAAAUGUUAUAGUUACCCUAUAGCUAAAUAAUUUGAUGAGAUAUUUGGAUUAUUAAUUAAUUUUGUCAAAGUCAUUUGUGGAUUAUUAUAUUAUAUUACAUGCAAUUUAGAAGCUUCAAGCUAAAUUUGGAAGUUAAGGUGAAUUUAAUGGAUUUUUAGUAGCGUAAAGUUUGGGUUAUUUUCGAUUGUAUUUUUGGAUCUCACGAAUAAAGUAUUCCAUUCUUAUCGAGAUCUAUAUGUUGUGGAACAUAUGGAGGAUAUGUUGGAUAGUUUAAAGUCUAAGAUUAUCAUCACAUGUAAAUUUUAUUCAAUUGUGGAAUGAUAACUUUAGGUUGUAAUCUUAAUUGAAGGUCUUUGUGCAUUAUACAAGAAGGCUUAUGUAUUGGUGAUAAUUUAAUGCCCUUUUUAUGGAAUAAGAGUUUAGAAUUAUCAUGGAUUAAAUGUUAUUAUUGUAUCUUCAUAGAAAGAAAGAGCACCAAAAUCGUGUGGGUUUAGAAAUGUCAAAAGUUUUGCUAUCAUAUUGCAUUAUGAUGAAAUAUGUACUCACGUAUCUAAAGUGGAUGAGGGCUUGAUUUAUGAUAAUAGAUUAUGUAAGGUUUAGAAAGUAUUCUGAGAUAAAUGAUGAAUUAUGGAUUAUAUUAUAGAUUGUUAAAGAAACAUCUAUAUUUAUCUAUCAUCAGAGUUUAAGGUAUAUUUUUAUUAGAAAUGGUGGAAAUUGAAGUUAUGUAUAUAUUAUCAUUGGGUGAUAUAGAAUGAAAGGAAAAGAAUCCCAUAUUGAGUUAUUUCAAUUGUUGUUGGGGAUAACUAGAACUUUAGAAAAUCGUGAACAAUUGAAAUUUUGCAUGUAUUAUUAAUUUAGAAUCGGAAUAGUUAUGCUAAAAUAUUUUUAUUCUGGGUUCCAAUUACAGGAGACAUAUGGUAUUUAGAUCAUUUUUGACAAGAUCAGUAAAGGUUAAAGAUUUAAUUCAAACAAUAUAGUCAUGUUAUGAGGUAGAUUUAUAAAAUUAUAUUUAGAUAUUAUUAUUAUUAAUAUGGUGGAGUUUGAGUAUCUAUUUUUAGCCUAGUUAUGGGAAGUUAUAACUAAAUUACAGUGUACAGCUUCUUUUAAUAGAAUGUAAGAAGACAAGUCGACAAAAAGGCUAGCAACUAUAGUUUGUUAAUUAAAGGGGACAUUGGAUUAUUUUUUAAUUUCAUGGAAUCAACAUAUGAGAACUAGAUACAAGUUACGAUGUUUAAGGUUAUACUUAGAUAGUGAAAUAUUCUAAGGACAAUUAUUGUGAUGACAUUGGUGAAAGAAUGUUGUUCGGUCUUAGUAUGUAACCAUUGUUAUAUAUAUAUAUAAAGGAGUUGAUUAGAGAAUAGUUCAAAUCAUGACAUGAGAUAAAGUUUUGAAGAAUAUGAAAAGUAGUAUUUUGAAUUUCAAAUUGUGAAAUAGCUAAUUUUUUCUAAGAUUUGGUAAAAUGAAAAGCUGAGCAUAUCAUAGAUUGAUCUGUGAAUUGUUAUUUGAAAUUUGGAUCAAUUGUUUAAUGAUGGAGUUUACAAUGGGUUUAUCUAGUAUUUAAGAAUGUAUUAUCUAUUUCUAAGGCUUGGUGAAUAGAUAUCAGAUCUAACUUAUGCUUUAAGAUUACCAGUGAAGUUAAAGAGAGCUCAACUUAGGAAAAAUCCAAAUAAAGAUGAAACAUAUGAAAUAACGAAUUAUGUCUAGUUCAAGAUUGCCAAAAAAAUCAUUCAUCGUUUGCGUUUUAUGCCUUUAUGUGUUCGAAUUCUAGUUCUCUAAAUUUCGAGGACGAAAUUCUUUUAAGGAGGUAAGAUUGUUACAACCCAAUUUUUCUUAGUCAAAAAUCAAAGGUUGACUAGUCAAAGUCAAAGCCAAUAAGGAUUUAAGUUGAACAAAUAAUUUUCAUGGGACUUAGAUUGUAAUUUGGAGUACUUGAGGGAUAGAAAUGAUAUGAUAAAUGAAUCCAAGGAUUUAGUUUUUAUUAUGGGAAAAUGAAAGGACUAAAUGUUAUAUUAAAUUGGAGAAGAGGGACUUAUUUUGCAAAUUUGAGUUGUGCCCCAUUAAAAACCCAUUUCUUUCCAAUUCAUUUACACAAAUAUAUACACAGAGAGAGAGGAAACGGCAUUGUCUAGAAAAAUCUAGAAGAGACGAAGAGAGAAAAAAAAGAAAAAAAAAAGAAAAAGGAAAGAAAUAGAAGAAGAAGAAGAAGAAGAAGAAGAAGAAAGAGGUGGCCGUUCUUUCUAUGUUUCUGGUUUUUCUUAGUUCUUCUCAUCUUCAAGAGUGUUGAAGAAAGUGGAAAUUUGAGAUGAAGAAUGAAUUGGGCAGAAAAAAAAGGGCAAAAAGAAGGAGAAAAAGAGAAAGAAAAGAGGAGAGAAAGAAGAAAAGGAAGGAAAAGAAAAAGAAAGGAAAAGAGGUAGUGGCUAUUCCAAUUUCAUUUUCAAUUUGUCUAAUUUCUUUAAAAGAUAUGGUAUGUUUUAUGCUUAAAUUUUUAGAGUUUUGAUUUUAUUUGUUUAAUUUUCAGAUUUUAAGGAAGGAAUAUAUAUGUUUUCAAGUCAAUGUUUUUGAAUUGGAGAUGCUAUUUACACUAAGGUAAGAAAUACCAAUUUUUGGCAAAAUCCUAGAAUUUUCAUUUGGGUUUUUGAAUGAGUUUAGUUAACGGGAAAAAUUUUAAGGAUGAAAUACUAUUUGAAGGCAUGAAUUUAUUGCUCAAAAUGGGAAAUUAAAUUGGUUAAAUUAUGAUUAUUAAUUUUACUAGUUUGAAAGAAGGAAUUAUUUUUAUGUUUGGAGUGAAGAUUAUUGUAAUGAAUUAGUUAUUAAGAAAUAGACCAGAAUGUGGAAUUAGCUUGAAGUGAUUAAAGGAAAUUGGAGAAAAUAUUAUUCAAGUAUCGAGAAGUCAAGUUUUAGUAUUCGAUUACUAGUAUUAAGAAAUACUAAGUAUCGAAGUUGUUAAAUUAGUUAUUUUAUAUCCUAUUUCAGGUGGUAACGUGAAAGCUGGGCAAGAUUGGUAAAAUUGAACCAGAUUGCUAUUCAUAGAUCUGUGAGUGGAAAAUCUACGUUUUCAAAAAGAAGAUUUCCUUUUUAUUUUAUAGAAGCAUGUUAAUUACAUGAAAUGCCUUAUUUUCGAGAAUUAGUAAAUGAGCAUGAUUGUUUUGAAAUUAUCAUUAAAUAAUUGAUGUGAUUAUCUUACUCUAGUGCGCCGAGGGGUUGCGGCUGUGUACUAGAGUCAUGUAUUUAACUCCUAUAGACUGAGGGGCUAUGGCCGUUUAUAAGGAUGAUUAUGUUAUUUCCAUCUUGUACACUGAGGGGCUACGGCCGUGUACUAGAGUUAUGUAUAUAACUCCUAUACACUGAAGGGUUAUAGUCAUGUAUAAGGGUAACUCUUAUCCAUUGAGGGGCUACGGCUGUGUAUAAGGGUACCUAUUAUACACUGAGGGGCUAUAGCCGUGUAUAAGGAUGAUUAUGUUUUUUUCAUCUUAUACACUGAGGGGCUACGACCGUGUACAGAGUGUUGAUCCGAUGGUUUAUGUGCAUAUGAUUUUAUAGUUUUCAGAUCAUCAGUAGAUGAUUACAUGGAGUAUAUUUUGAUGUGAAUUUUAAGUAUAGAGUGGAUUAUUAGCUUUCAGCUUACAUUUUCCCAUUUACAGUUCAGCUUGUGGAUUUCAGAUUAUGAUUUUAGCUUAUUGAAUUUGUCUAAUGUUCUCACUCAUCUUGUAUUAAUUAUUAUUAUAUUUCUUUUAUAUAUCAGCUUGAGUCUAAUUUAUGAUUUAGCACCAGAAUUUUGAGUUUAUACGAUGUUAUGAUACAUACAUCAAGAAUAAUGAGUACAUUAAGGUAAAUGCAGCUCUACGUAUGUAUGACCAGAUUAUAGAAUUCAGUUAUUCAGUUCUAAGAAUAAAGCUUUCAGUUUAUAGUAUUAAGUAACAACAAUAUUUCAUAGAUUUUCAUGGGUACCAAAAUUUGUUAUACUUUACAGUUAUUUAUCUCGAAUAAAGAACAAAGAAUCUUAUGAUGCAGUCAUGUUUUAGUUUUAAAGGUUUUAUCAGAUUUCAGAAUUCUCAAAGUUUUAAUAGAGCAAGAAUUUUAAGAAAAUAUGCAUAAAUGAAAAAAGUUUACUUAUUUGCAAAUUAUCCACUCACUGAGCUAUUAGCUCAUAUUUCUUUUACCCUUUUUCCUUAUCAGACAGAUAGNUCAAUUGUUUAAUGAUGGAGUUUACAAUGGAUUUAUCUAGUAUUUAAGAAUGUAUUAUCUACUUCUAAGGCUUGGUGAAUAGAUAUCAGAUCUAACUUAUGCUUUAAGAUUACUAGUGAAGUUAAAGAGAGCUCAACUUAGGAAAAAUCCAAAUAAAGAUGAAACAUAUGAAAGAACGAAUUAUCUCUAGUUCAAGAUUGCUAGAAAAAUCAUUUAUCGUUUGCGUUUUAUGCCUUUAUGUGUUCGAAUUCUAGUUCUCUGAAUUUCGAUUAUGAAAUUCUUUUAAGGAGGUAAGAUUGUUACAACCCAAUUUUUCUUAGUCAAAAAUCAAAGGUUGACUAGUCAAAGUCAAAGUCAAAGACAAUAGGGACUUAAGUUGAACAAAUGAUUUUCAUGGGACUUAGAUUGUAAUUUGGAGUACUUGAGGGCUAGAAAUGAUAUGAUAAAUGAAUCCAAGGAUUUAGUUUUUAUUAUGGGAAAAUGAAAGGACUAAAUGUUAUAUUAAAUUGGAGAAGAGGGACUUAUUUUGCAAAUUUGAGUCGUGGCCCAUUAAAAACCCGUUUCUUUCCGAUUCAUUUACACAAAUAUAUACACAGAGAGAGAGAGGAAACGGCACUAUCUGUAAAAAUUGAGAAGAGAGGAAGAGAAAAAAAAAAGAAAAGGAAAGAAAUAGAAGAAAAAGAAGAAGAAAGAUGUGGCCAUUCUUUCUAAGCUUCGGGCUUUCCUUAGUUCUUCUCAUCUUCAAGAGUGUUGAAGAAAGUGGAAAUUUGAGAUGAAGAAUGAAUUGGGCAGGAAAAAACGACAGAAAGAAGGAGAAAAAGAGAAAGAAAAGAGGAGAGAGAAGAAAAGGAAGGAAAGGAAAAAGAAAGGAAAAGAGGUAGUGGUUAUUCCAAUUUCAUUUUCAAUUUGUCUAAUUCCUUUAAAAGAUAUGGUAUGUUUUAUGCUUAAAUUUUUAUAGUUUUGAUUUUAUUUGUUUAAUUUUCAGAUUUUAAGGAAUGAAUAUAUAUGUUUUCAAGUCAAUAUUUUUGAAUUGGAGAUACUAUUUACACUAAGGUAAAAAAUAUCAAUUUUGGGCAAAACCCUAGAGAAUUUUCAUUUGGAUUUUUGAAUGAGUUCAGUUAACGGGAAAAAUUGUAAGGAUGAAAUACUCAUUUGAAGGCAUGAAUUUAUGGAUCAAGAUGGGAAAUUAAAUUGGUUAAAUUAUGAUUAUUAAUUUUACUAGUUUGGAAGAAGGAAUUAUUUUUAUGUUUGGAGUGAAGAUUAUUGUAAUGAAUUAGCUAUUAAGAAAUGGACUAGAAAGUGGAAUUAGCUUGAAGUGAUUAAAGGAAAUUGGGGAAAAUAUUAUUGAAGUAUCGAAAAGUCAAGUUUUAGUACUUGAUUACUAGUAUUAAGAAAUACUUAGUAUGGAAGUUGUUAAAUUAGUUAUUUUAUAUCAUAUUUCAGGUGGUAACGUGAAAGCUGGACAAGGUUGGUAAAAUUGAACUAGAUUGCUAUUUUUCUGUGAGUGGAAAAAUAUAAAUAUUUUAAAAGUAUUUAUAAAUUAAGUAUAUUGUUAAAGUAUGUGCAAUUAUAUGAAACUAUGUGUUCGAAUUAUAUGGUUAUUAUGAGAAUAUCUUUUAUUAUAAUACAUAUGAGAUUUCAAAGAUUGCAUACGUUACAUUGUGAAUUGGAAUAUGAGAUAUGAUUUUGAGAUCGACCAGAAAAGUACGUGUGAUUAUAUAUUUCUUCUAGUUCACUGAUGAGCCUUGGUCGUGUUCUAUACUAAAUUGAGGGGUCUUGGACCGGAGAUGAAGGGGUCUCGACCAUGUAUAUAUAGUUUACUGAAGGGCAUUGACCGUAUUAUAGAAUUGAUUAUGAGAGUUCUUUGAGAUCGACCUUCGUUCACGGAGGGGCCAAAUGCCCGUAGCGAAAGUUCUUAACCCGAGGGGCAGAUUAUAUAUUUCAAUCAGAUGGUACAUUUUUGAUGGAUUUUUCAGCACGUUUGAUGUGAUGAGAUUAUAACAUGGUUAUCAGCUGAUAUUUAUAUCAUGAUUUUGAGAUGAUAUUUUACAAGCUUAUGUGAAUAUUUCACUUUUGGUUAUAAUUACAUGAUGUUAUUUUGUGAAUUAUUAAAUGAUAUGAACUCGAUUUUCGAUAGAAAUAUUUCACUUUUGGUUAUAAAGAAUGUAUGGUUGAAAAGAAGAUAGAGAAAAAUGCAUUUUGAAAAAAAUGACUACCAAACGAGGCCUAAAUGUUGUUGCAGUAAAAUUUUUAGUUAUUAGCUAAUUUGUCUUUAAAAAAAUAAAAUAAAAAAAUCAACAUUUAAAAUUUGAGAAAUAUGAAUAUUUUGUUGGAGAAUUUAGUACGUGUUCAUCAACCUCCUUAAAGAUCUUUAUUUUAUACAUGUCAUUUGAGGUUUGACAUGUUAAUAUAACUUAAAGUUAGCCAAAGCAUUUUCAAAUAAUUUUAAGUCGUGC
rnacentral:lncRNA from 1 species